AUAUAUAUCGAUGGUGCAUUAUUCUAGUCAUACAAGUUUUACGAGGGUGGGGCUAAAAAUCCACUAAAGGGCACAUCGUUGAAGUUUCUUGAAAAUGCGCGAAAUGCCAGUUUUGUGUGUUCUCAGGGAGUAAAGAAUCUAGGGUAAUAUGUAAUGGCAUACAUAUGAUUUCCCUAUUUUCGCGGAGGCUUAAUAUAUCUUUUAAGUUAAACCUAUGUUGAGUGCCAAGACACAAAAUACAUAGAGUAGCCUGUCUCGAGUGAAUGUAUUGGGAUUAAUCUAAUAAGAAUAAAAAAAUUUAGGCCAAAUUUAUUUUAUUUUUGAUUAUGAAAUUUCAUUUGCAAAAAAGACUAGUAAAACCAGAAUGUAUGUAAAGGAAAACUUCUAGAAUGUUUGUUUCGGAAGAAACAUAGAAGUCUAGGGAUUAAGGUACAGAUUUAAGUGGUGAUCUGGUGGCUACAUUAGUAGAUAUUUUCCUUAAAUGGAAACGGCUUAGUAGUAAUACUAAGUGGAAAAUAGAGAAAUUCGACCAGACCUAAACUGUAAAAUUUACUUAGGCUUUUACCAUCUAGUGU
rnacentral:sRNA from 1 species